GUGAGGAAUAUUGCGCAAUGGAGGCAACUCUGACGCAGCCAUGCCGCGUGCAGGAAGAAGGCGCUACGCGUUGUAAACUGCUUUUAACCGGGAAGAAACCCCAGGACGUGUCCUGGGUUGACGGUACCGGAGGAAUAAGCACCGGCUAACUUCGUGCCAGCAGCCGCGGUAAUACGAAGGGUGCAAGCGUUAUCCGGAUUCAUUGGGUUUAAAGGGUGCGUAGGCGGAGCGUUAAGUCAGUGGUGAAAUCCUGCAGCUUAACUGUAGACUUGCCAUUGAUACUGGCGCUCUUGAGUGCGCUUGAAGUGGGCGGAAUGUGCCGUGUAGCGGUGAAAUGCUUAGAUAUGGCACAGAACACCAAUUGCGAAGGCAGCUCACUAAGGCGAUACUGACGCUGAGGCACGAAAGCGUGGGGAUCGAACAGGAUUAGAUACCCUGGUAGUC
rnacentral:rRNA from 1 species